AGUCUCCCACUUUCUCUCACUGCUCGCUCUAUAGAUCAGUAACAUUCUCUCACUUUCGCUCUCGAUCUAUUUACUCAGUCACUCAGAAGACUUCUCAUCUCUUACUCUCACCUCUCAGUCUUAGAUUUCAAAUUGAUUUCUCAUGAUCUCAUCUCUCACACUUAGAUCUUAGAUCUCUCAUCUCUCCUCGCCCCUGGCCCUUCCCUCAGAUCUCUCACUCUGUCCUAGACCCUAGUGCCCUAACUCAAAAGCUAUAACUCAAGUUCUGCAGUCAGUUCCGCCUCCGAAUGGACCAAGUUCCUCUCUCUUCCGACGGUCUCUAUCUUCAAAGUCGGAGGUAUCUACUUAUAUUUCCCAUUCUUCGAAGUCCGACGACCUAUAUCUUCGAACGGACCAAGUUUGGACGGAUUAUGUAUUACUAAUUUUAUUAUUAUUGUUAAUUUUAGUUAUGUAUGUGUUAUUAUCAUAUUAAUGUUGAAGUCUUGGUUUUCUGUUGUUGUGUUGACUGAAUGAGAUAAGUAUGUAAUGUUGUUCAUGUACUCAUGUAUUGGAAAUUUGGAAUCAUUAUGCUUGCCUUCAUUUCAGUUAUUUACCGAAUAACUGAAUAGUAAAUUCGAUAAUUCGAUAAUUCGGUUAUAUAAAAAUUCGGUUAUUAAUUCGGAU
rnacentral:lncRNA from 1 species